UAAUGAUAUAGUCCGAUCUUCAUAGCGAUAUGA
rnacentral:autocatalytically_spliced_intron from 1 species